GACGAACGCUGGCGGCGUGCUUAACACAUGCAAGUCGUACGGUGAAGCGCCUUCCUUUUUGGUGGGUGUGGAUGAGUGGCGAACGGGUGAGUAACACGUGAGUAACCUGCCCCCUUCUUCUGGAUAACCGCAUGAAAGUGUGGCUAAUACGGGAUAUUCUGGGUCUGUCGCAUGAUGGGUCUGGGAAAGAUAUUGUUUCGGUGGGGGAUGGGCUCGCGGCCUAUCAGCUUGUUGGUGGGGUGAUGGCCUACCAAGGCGGUGACGGGUAGCCGGCCUGAGAGGGUGGACGGUCACACUGGGACUGAGACACGGCCCAGACUCCUACGGGAGGCAGCAGGGGGGAAUAUUGCACAGUGGGCGCAAGCCUGAUGCAGCGACGCCGCGUGAGGGAUGGAGGCCUUCGGGUUGUGAACCUCUUUCGCCAGUGAAGCAGGCCUGCCUCGUUUGUGGGUGGGUUGACGGUAGCUGGAUAAGAAGCGCCGGCUAACUACGUG
rnacentral:rRNA from 1 species